UACGAAGGGGGCUAGCGUUGCUCGGAAUCACUGGGCGUAAAGCGCACGUAGGCGGAUUGCUAAGUCAGGGGUGAAAUCCUGGAGCUCAACUCCAGAACUGCCCUUGAUACUGGCAACCUUGAGUCCGGGAGAGGUGAGUGGAACUGCGAGUGUAGAGGUGAAAUUCGUAGAUAUUCGCAAGAACACCAGUGGCGAAGGCGGCUCACUGGCCCGGUACUGACGCUGAGGUGCGAAAGCGUGGGGAGCAAACGGG
rnacentral:rRNA from 1 species